AUUGAACGCUGGCGGCAGGCUUAACACAUGCAAGUCGAGCGGGGUGAGGUGCUUCGGUACUGAUCCUAGCGGCGGACGGGUGAGUAAUGCUUAGGAACCUGCCAUUUAGUGGGGGACAACAUUCCGAAAGGAAUGCUAAUACCGCAUACGUCCUACGGGAGAAAGCAGGGGAUCUUCGGACCUUGCGCUAAAUGAUGAGCCUAAGUCGGAUUAGCUAGUUGGUGGGGUAAAGGCCUACCAAGGCGACGAUCUGUAGCGGGUCUGAGAGGAUGGUCCGCCACACUGGGACUGAGACACGGCCCAGACUCCUACGGGAGGCAGCAGUGGGGAAUAUUGGACAAUGGGCGGAAGCCUGAUCCAGCCAUGCCGCGUGUGUGAAGAAGGCCUUUUGGUUGUAAAGCACUUUAAGCGAGGAGGAGGCUACCUGGAUUAAUACUCUGGGAUAGUGGAAGUUACUCGCAGAAUAAGCACCGGCUAACUCUGUGCCAGCAGCCGCCGUAAAAC
rnacentral:rRNA from 1 species